GUCUUAGGCCAUGCUGUUUAAUGCAGAUGGAUUUUUCAAGAGCAUCACCAUGCUAAGUGCUUGGAAGAAGGACUUCAUCUGCACAGAGAAGUGACUGUGACCUGCCUUGAAAUGACAUCAUCUGGUGUCAUGUGGCUCUUCACAUGUCUCAGCCUCAGAAGAGACACUCUGUGGAAGGCACAGCGCGAUUUCUGCUGUGAUGGUCUUCAGCUGACAGAGGCUGGGGCUGGAGGGAGGCAUACAUUGCAUACAUUGGUUUCCUCAAUGUAUGCAGCCCCUGGCAGGAUUCUCAGCUUUGCUUUAUUACUAAAAGCACAGAUGCACUGAUGGGAUGAAGUGAGCUGGCCGCCUUGGACUUGGGAGCGUGCUUUCUGCAUGAAGAUCAAGAACUUCCCUAGAGCCUCUCCUCUGCUGUCUGAAUACCUUGUCUGUGCAGACUUCUUUUCAAUUUGAACAACACAGGCAAAAAUCUGUGAACUUUUCCUCCCAGAGAGCUCUGCCUAUUUGGUCAGUACUUGAAGAUUUCUGGUCCCAAAUAAGUUCUGAGUGGCUUGCGCAUGACUGGCCACUGAGGGGGAAGCCCCUGCUGGAGUCACACUGCAGAAGUGCUCCAGGUACCUUCACCUGCUGACACAGGCUGCCCUCCAUGGAUUUCUCUCCAAGCCAGUUUGCAUAAAUGACUCUUUCCUUUCAAAUGGGCAAGAGACGCUCUUCAGCACCAUGGACAGCUGCAAGCAGCCUGCCACACUGUGGAAUGGUGACCAGGACAAGCAUUCUGACACUGUAAGUUUUCCAAACACCUGUCAUCUAUUUUAGAUCCAUCAUAGUCUGGACAUAUGGAGGGAGGAAACUGAAAUGUAAACUGCAAAAAGUGGUGCAUUUUAAAUUAAGGAUCAACCGUUUAAAUGUCAUUUUAGAAAUUGUUAAUGUGUCAACUUAAAGUAACUUUAUUGUUUUAUUAGUUGGUAUUUGUUCUGUGUUUUAUAUUUUGAGAAUCUUUGCUUUUUAAAAAUCCACUGC
rnacentral:lncRNA from 1 species